rnacentral:rRNA from 1 species
UAGGGAAUUUUCGUCAAUGGGCGCAAGCCUGAACGAGCAAUGCCGCGUGAACGAGGAAGGUCUUCGGAUCGUAAAGUUCUGUUGAAGGGGAAAAAGAGCGGAGAGAGGAAAUGCUUUCUGAUUGAUAUUACCCUUCGAGGAAGUCACGGCUAACUACGUGCCAGCAGCCGCGGUAAUACGUAGGUGGCGAGCGUUAUCCGGAAUGAUUGGGCGUAAAGGGUGCGUAGGCGGCCUGCUAAGUCUGGAGUGAAAGGUACCGGCUCAACCGGUACAGGCUCUGGAAACUGGCGGGCUAGAGAGCAGGAGAGGGCGGUGGAACUCCAUGUGUAGCGGUAAAAUGCGUAGAUAUAUGGAAGAACACCAGUGGCGAAGGCGGCCGCCUGGCCUGUUGACUGACGCUGAGGCACGAAAGCGUGGGGAGCAAAUAGG